rnacentral:rRNA from 1 species
CGGAACACGUACGCAACCUUCCCAAAACUGGUGAAUAGCCCUCCGAAAGGAGGAUUAAUACACCGUAAGAUAAUGAGACGGCAUCGUCUUAUUAUUAUAGGCAGCAAUGUCGGUUUUGGAUGGGCGUGCGCCUGAUUAGGUAGUUGGCGGGGGUAACGGCCCACCAAGCCUGCGAUCAGUAACUGGUGUGAGAGCACGACCAGUCACACGGGCACUGAGACACGGGCCCG